rnacentral:rRNA from 1 species
GUCUAUGACCGUGCCUCCCUGAACAAGCGCGAUUCCAUCUGAUCUUGGAAGCUAAGCAGGUUCGGGCCUGGUUAGUACUUGAAUAGGAGACCAUCUAGGAAGACCAGGUGCUGUUGGCG